AUUAGGAAUCUUGCGCAAUGGGCGAAAGCCUGACGCAGCGACGCCGCGUGGAGGAGGAAGUCCUUCGGGAUGUAAACUCCUUUUUCCGGGGAAGAAACAAAUGACGGUACCCGGUGAAUAAGCCCCGGCUAACUACGUGCCAGCAGCCGCGGUAAUACGUAGGGGGCGAGCGUUGUCCGAAGUUACUGGGCGUAAAGCGCGCGUAGGCGGGGGGUUAAGUGAGAGGUGAAAGGCUGGGGCUCAACCUCAGUAGUGCCUCUCAUACUGGCCUUCUUGAGGGCGGUAGGGAGAAGUGGAAUGGCUGGUGUAGCGGUGAAAUGCGUAGAUAUCAGUCGGAACACCGGUGGCGAAGGCGGCUUCUUGGGCCGUUCCUGACGCUGAUGCGCGAAAGCUGGGGGAGCGAACGG
rnacentral:rRNA from 1 species